UGAACCUGCGGGAAGACCUCUCUGUGCUCAUGCUCCUUUUCAGUUUUCUACGCGGCUAGAAAUCGACCUGGGAGUAUUCUGACACCAAUGAGCAGGUGGGGCGAUAGCCCCUGCGCUAGCACCUCCAUUUACAGAAGUUUUUCCCACGCCUCCUGAAGUUGUUGACGGCUUCUCUUUGCUCCACAUCUCUUCUAGCCUCCCUGUUUUUAAUCCCUUUGCAGCCGCCCACCCUUCCCCCCACUCCAUUAUGUAUGCUCGGGCUCCCCGUGUGCUUAGAUUGGCUGAAGCUGGCAGCACUGAGGAUCAUGUGGGUCCUGGAUCCUACCAGGUACCUUUCCUGAAGCAGCAGGCAACAGAAAAUGUCAAGGGCACUUACAGUUUCCAGAAGUGUUGAUGUUCCUUUGAUUCCUUCUUGUGGACGGUCAUACGGUUAUCGUAUUAAUGAGGAUGGCAGUAUCACAAAAUAUUUUCCACCUGCUAUUGACAGUACACUAGGUCCAGCAUACUAUAAACCUCAAUUUGAAAAAGGCACUACAUUAUGAAAAUAUUAACAUCAAGAAAGAUCAACAGCAAAAUCAUUGUUCAAAUCUCCCACGACUUUAUGAAGUAAUAAUAUUGCAGGAGGAAA